rnacentral:rRNA from 1 species
GUCUACGGCCAUACCACCCUGAACGCGCCCGAUCUCGUCUGAUCUCGGAAGCUAAGCAGGGUCGGGCCUGGUUAGUACUUGGAUGGGAGAAAUGCCUUUAAAUUAAAAUGCUAGAUG